rnacentral:misc_RNA from 1 species
CGAGCAAACAGUAGUGUUCCAUAUUAUAUUAUACCUGAAAUAAUUGCUUCUGUUAACAAUAUUUCACAAUCAUUAGUUUCCUAUAUUGGUAAUGCUGCUUUAUCAGUUUUAGAUGACAUUGGAGCAAAUGAUUCCACUCGAACGUUGUUUAAGAGUAAGUUAGAAAGUAGCUUAAUACAUUGCAAUGAGCCACUCAAGUUUCUUGACACAUUGUAUAAACAAGAUAAACACUUAGAAAAGAAUUCUCUUUUUGUAAAUCCUGAAACUUGCAACAUGGGCCCUCCUAGAUACGAAACUAAUGAAGGAAUUUCUAAGAUUGUUUAUGACACUUUUCAAUAUAUAUCAGUAGAACAAACGCUAAAAUCACUUCUUCAUAAUCCCCAAUAUAUAGAUGCUUUAAAUUUUAAUAAACAAAAAAAAAGGAAUUAUAAAAAACUUUUCUGAUGGCCAAGCAUGUAAAAACCAUGAACUUUUUAGUGAUGACAGCAAGAUUUCUUUAAAAUUACAGUUGUUUUAUGAUGGAAUGGGGACAUCUAAUCCACUUCGUGGACAGCCUUCACUAUGUAGUAUUGGAGUCUUUUACUUUGCUGUUUUAAACUUACCUGCAAAGUAUAAUUCCUGUUUUACAAAUGUUCAUUUGGUGGCUUUGUGCUAUUCUCAUGAUAUUAAAGUAUAUGGAUUUGAUGCUAUUCUUGAAAAAUUUUCAUUUGAAAUGAACAAGUUAAGUGAAAUUGGCAUUUCAGGUGAAUUUCCAAUAAUUGGUAGGAAUGUAGUUUAUGCCAGUCUUGCUCAGGUUGCCUGUGACAAUUUGGCUUUAAACUCUAUAUUUGGUUUUAUUGAAUCGUUUUCUGGCAGCCACUUUUGUACCUUAUGCUAUGCAACUAGUAAUGACAUUCAAAUCUACUUUACUGAAGAUAAAUUUGAAAUGAGAACAAUUCAAAAAUAUGAAAUAGAUGUUGGAAAUGUUCAAAGUGGCAAUGUAGGGAAUAAAAAUCACUGUAAAGGAGUAAAGAAAGCUUGUGUUUUAAAUUCAAUCAAAGGGUUUCAUGUCACUUCAAACUUUAGCUUAGAUAUCAUGCACACUGUACUUGAAGGUGUUGUUGUUAUAAAGUUAGGUGCUGUCCUGUAUUGUUUGUCUGUCGAAAAACGUUUUUUUACCCUUGGUGAGUUGAACAAUCGCCUAUCUCACUUUUGGUCAAUGGUUAAUGUUGACAAAAAGAAUAAAUUGCUAGAACUCAACAAAUUGGAAGUUCCAGGACAUGGGCUAUCACCAAGUAUGAAAGCCAUGCAGAUCUGGUCCUUACUUUUGUAUUUGCCGCUUAUUGUUUGUGAUUUUGUUCCAGAGAAGGAUGAACAUUGGAAGUUUCUACUAGAAUUAUCUACUUUAGUUGAUUUGAUUUUUGCUCCAAAAUUUACAACAGGAAUGGUAACAUACCUUAAAUAUAUCAUAGCGAGCCAUUUGGAAAAUUUUAAAUUUUUUUUUGGGAAUCACACUCGUCUUCGUCCCAAACAUCAUUUUUUGGUUCAUUUACCAACAAUUAUUAUGAAUUCUGGACCUCUUAUUGGAAUGAACUGUCUAAAAUAUGAAUUAAAAAAUUCAUUUUUCAAAAGAUCUGCGCAUAUUGUAAGCAAUUUUAAAAAUAUAUGCUUCACUCUAGCCAAAAGACAUCAACACAAUGCCUUACAUCAUAGAUUAUCAAGUGCUUAUAUGCGUAAUUUAAUAAUUUCUGAAAGUCAUGAUGUGGUACCAAUUCGUAGUCUUCAUUAUUCACAAGUACUUUUGGACACUUUUCAUAGUAAACCUACUGAUGAUAUUUUUGUUGCAUUCAAAAUUAAAAGGGGAUCUCUUCAAUACAAAACAAACCACCAUCUUACUAUUAGUGAAGAUGAAGAUUAUCCUGUUUUCGGAAAAGUUAUCAGCUUUGUUAGUAUCAGGGAUGAGUCCUCAUGGUUUGUUGUAUUGUCUAAGCUUAACACACUUAAAUUUGUGGAGCAUUGCCACUGCUUUCUGGUCGAAGAUGUCAAACCAGUUACAUAUCUUGUUAUAAAUUUGGAUGAACUUAUUGAUGAUCAUCCUGUUUUAUCGUAUCAAAAAGAAAAUGCAUAUUAUAUAAGGCAACAAUAUCAUGUGUUUAAGGAAUAAAUUAAAGAAGUGUUAAAACUUUUUUAUAUUUUUUUAAAAAUACCAAAAUUGGUAUUAUUGAAUUGUCAUGUUGAUUGUUUUGAACUAUAUUUGAUUAUUUGAAUAAUAAUUAUUGCAAUGUCAUUGUUAAUUAUUUUGUUGUUUAUUUUUUUGUUGCAGUUAUUUUUUUUCUUUUUAGUUACUAUAGUUAUUAAAUUAUUAUGUUAAUUAUUUUUUAUUUUAAUUAGUUAAAAUUGUUAUAUUUUUAUUUAAUCCUUCUAUUGUUAGGCUCUAUUUUUUUGUUGCAAUUGUUUUUACCUUUGUUAUCUAACCACUGCUUAAAAUGGUUCCAGAACUUAGCAGCAUUAAAAGAUAUUUUUUAAAUCAAUUUAUUCAUUUGAGUUUAUUCUACAGUAAUUCAAGUAUGGAAGAAUUGUGCCAAGUUAUUUCAUGCGUUACCAAAAUGAGUAUAACAUCUGAAGUUCGUCAAAAGCUUCAUGAUGAAGGUAUAACAUUAGAAAUAUUAAAUUUACUUGAUGAUGAUGAUUUAAAAGAAAUUGGUUUCAAUAUGGCUUCAAGAAGAUUACUAAUUCAAUGGAUCCGUGCUCAAUCAUUAACAUCUGGUAAUCAGGGAAAUAUUGUAACUUCUAAAAUAAUGUCAACAGACAGCAAAGAUAUUAAAAUACCUACAAAUACUACAACAAUGAUCAUAGCAGAGCAACCACAACAAGCUACUUCUUCAAUUUCCGACUGGUCUGUUGAAGAAAUACUAAAUAAAAUGACCAUGACAAAGAUAAAAGGAGCAGAAUUAGUUGAUAAGCUAAAAAGAAUGGAGGAAAUAAACAAUAAAGAAAGAAUUUUUUAAGUUAAGAUUCUUGGUAGAUAUCUUAU